UCUGUGCUUACAGAGGUUUGCGGAGAAAGAAGAUAAGCUGAUGAGGCUUGAGAAAGCCAUCAACCCACUUCUAGAUGAUGAUGACCAAGUGGCAUUCUCCUUCAUUCUAGAAAAUAUUGUCCAGACAAAACUCAAAUUGGUGGAUAAUUCUUGGCCCUUUCACCAGCCUGUAAACAAGAAGUUUGUCAAGGAUUACUAAGAGAUUGUGAAGAACCCCAUGGACCUGAGCAUGUUACUA